ACGAACGCUGGCGGCGUGCUUCACACAUGCCAGUCGAACGGAAAGGCCUGCUUUCCCUUGUGGAUUGCGGGUACUCGAGUGGCGAACGGGUGAGUAACACGUGAGUGAUCUGCCCCCAACUUGGGUAUAAGCCUGGGAAACUGGGUCUAAUUCCCGAUAGGACUGCAGGGUGGUGCCUGUGGUGGAAAACGAUUUUCUAGUGGUUGGGGAUGAGCUCGCGGCCUAUCAGCUUGUUGGUGGGGUAAUGGCCUACCAAGGCGGCGACGGGUAGCCGGCCUGAGAGGGUGGACGGCCACAUUGGGACUGAGAUACGGCCCAGACUCCUACGGGAGGCAGCAGUGGGGAAUAUUGCACAAUGGGCGGAAGCCUGAUGCAGCGACGCCGCGUGGGGGAUGACGGCCUUCGGGUUGUAAACUCCUUUCGACCGCGAGGAAGCCACCUGGUUGGAAGGGUGGUGACGGUAGUGGUAGAAGAAGCACCGGCUAACUACGUG
rnacentral:rRNA from 1 species